UGCAUCAGACCCAACUUUAGAUACACCCUCCAUCAAGCAUUAAUGUUGAAGCCCUGUUUGAAGCUAAGCAGAGGGGAAGCCUGGUCGGUAUCUGGGUGGGAGACCACAUGGAAAAACUAAGUUGCUGUUGGAA
rnacentral:rRNA from 1 species